rnacentral:rRNA from 1 species
CCUACGGGCGGCAGCAGUGAGGAAUAUUGGUCAAUGGGCGGACGCCUGAACCAGCCAAGUCGCGUGAGGGAAGACGGCCCUAUGGAUUGUAAACCUCUUUAGGCAGGGAGCAACGCCGGCUACGCGUACCCGGCAGGAGAGUACCCGCAGAAUAAGCAUCGGCUAACUCCGUGCCAGCAGCCGCGGUAAUACGGAGGGUGCGAGCGUUAUCCGGAUUUAUUGGGUUUAAAGGGUGCGUAUGUGGAAUGGUAAGUCAGAGGUGAAAUUUUGCGGGUCAAACUUCAAAUUGCAAUUGAAACUGGCGUUCUUGAGUACGGGUGAGGUAGGCGGAAUUCGUGGUGUAGCGGUGAAAUGCUUAGAUAUCACGCAGAACUCCGAUUGCGAAGGCAGCUUACUGGACCGCAACUGACGGUGAUGCGCGAAAGCGUGGGUAUCAAACAGGAUUAGAUACCCUUGUAGUC